UCCUACGGGACGCAGCAGUGGGGGAUAUUGCACAAUGGGGGAAACCCUGAUGCAGCGACGCCGCGUGAGCGAUGAAGUAUUUCGGUAUGUAAAGCUCUACCAGCAGGGAAGAAAAUGACGGUACCUGACUAAGAAGCCCCGGCUAACUACGUGCCAGCAGCCGCGGUAAUACGUAGGGGGCAAGCGUUAUCCGGAUUUACUGGGUGUAAAGGGAGCGUAGACGGCAGAGAAAGUCUGAAGUGAAAGCCCGCGGCUCAACCGCGGAACUGCUUUGGAAACUUUUCGGCUAGAGUACCGGAGAGGUA
rnacentral:rRNA from 1 species